GUGCUCGUUUCAGCAGCACAUAAACUAAAAUUGGAACGAUACAGAGAAGAUUAGCAUGGCCCCUGCGCAAGAAAAAUAUAUCUGAAGAAAUAAUGGCCAAAAAUUGC